ACAACAGGAAUUACUCUUCUAUUUUACACCUAUUCUUUUCUUCAUUUCUUCAUUUCUUUCUUCCUUCUCUUGCUUGCCUGUUGGGAGAGAGGGGAAGGGAGGGGAGGGGAGGAGAGGAGAGGAGAGGAAGGUUGUUCGUCUUUUUUUCCUUC
rnacentral:ribozyme from 1 species